CGCCCGCGCCGAGCAGCAGCAGCUGCUUUCCCUCCAUGAGGCAGCGCGCCGAACGCCGCAGCAUCGUUUCCACCAGCGGCGCGGCCGCCGCCUCCUCGGCCGCCAGGCCCAGUUUCUCCAGCAACGCCAGCACUGUGUCCACCACUGGGCCCUGCUCAGCUCGUGGAUACAGACGCAAGGCCUGCCUCCCUCUCCAGCGCCAGCCACUGAGCUUCACGGCCACCUGCAACAGAGAGGGGAAGGCGGUGCCCUCACCACCCAGGCCUCUGCAGGGUGGGACACUCAUACCAUAGGAGCCAGUCAGGACACAGAGCUGGCCCAGAAGACGCUGGAGGCUGGACACCUGGAGACCUGGGUUCUAGCCUGAGCUCUGCCACUUUCUGUGCGGCCCUUGGUCCGCAGCAGGGUGAGGAGUCGCUGCACCCCAGUUUCCCCCUCUGUUACACUGAGACCAAGCCUGUGAUGUUCACCUAUUCUAGCUGUAAAGUCUCUGUCCACACAGGCUCUUCUGUGGCUGCCUGAUACAUAAAACAGAUAAAGCAGGGGAGAAGUCUUGGGUCCCAACUGCUAGCUGCCUCCACAGCAACUCCCAAGACACUUCUACAGAAGCGUUGGCUCCACUGGACAUGGAUUGCAAAUCCCAUGUCCAAGGGAAGCCUUGAUCUCUGACCUGACUUGUGCCAAUUGCCCUUUGAAACGCCUGCCUGCCGGAGUUGGACUGACCUCACCUUCCUGGCUUCAGACCGAGUCCGAGCCUGGGGGGAAGGGGCUGACCUUGACAGAGGUGGAAAGCAGGCUGGGCUGAGGGUGCCCCCCGCCCCCCAGGGGUGCCCCCCACCUCCCUGGAGCCCUCGGGCACCUGUGCGGGGCACCUGGCUGCGGUCCUGGGUCUCCGGGAGGCCCGCUUGCUGCAGACAGCUCUGCAGGAGGCUGUAGUAGUGCACGGUCCAGGCCUGGGUGUCCGCCCCCUCGGGGGAGCCCUUGCAGUCCAGGCCCACGUCGUGGCGCCAGGAGC